GACGGAGGGUGCUAGCGUUGUUCGGAAUUACUGGGCGUAAAGGGCGCGUAGGCGGCUGCUCAAGUCGGGUGUGAAAGCCCGGGGCUCAACCCCGGAACGGCACCCGAGACUGGGCGGCUCGAGACCGGGAGAGGUGGGUGGAAUACCCAGUGUAGAGGUGAAAUUCGUAGAUAUUGGGUGGAACACCGGUGGCGAAAGCGGCUCACUGGCCCGGUUCUGACGCUGAGGAGCGAAAGCGUGGGGAGCGAACAGG
rnacentral:rRNA from 1 species